rnacentral:tRNA from 1 species
GCCGCUGUAGCUCAGUUGGUAGAGCGACGCAUUCGUAAUGCGUAGGUCGAGGGUUCAAGUCCCUCCGGCGGCU